rnacentral:rRNA from 1 species
AUUAAAUUAUAUUUGUUUAUUUUAAUUAGUUUAGAUUACAUUAAUGGAAUUAAUUAAAUACUAAUAAGUUAAUAAAUUUUACCUUUGGUAUAAUGGUUAUACUAUAAUUAUACUAAAUAGUAGUUCCCGAAGUGAGAAGAGCUACAUAGUAACUUUUUUUAGAAAAUAUAAAAUUAUGUUGAAAUAUGGUUGAAAGAUUACUAUGUAGGAGCGAAAAACUUUCAAUUCUCAGGAUAUCUGGUAAUCCUAGAAAAGCAUAUAGUGCUGGAAAAUUAAAUAUGGAGUGAUGAAAUUUCAUAUUAUUAGAAAUUUAAAUAUAUUAAAUUAUUUUAGAGUUAACCCUAACGAAUAAUAAACUUAAAAAUAUUUAUUUUUUAUUUUUUCUAUAUUUUUAUAGGAUUUUUUCAUUUAAUUUGUUUUGAAAUUAAUUAUGUAUAAAUUAGUAGUGUAUAAAAUUAUUCUAAAUUUAUUUUACAAUAAGUUCAAUGUUUAGUUUAUAUAAUAUAAUUAAUUAGAAGGAAUUCGGCAAAUAUAAACUUCGACUGUUUAACAAAAACAUAGCCCUAGGAAAAUUUAGUCUAAGGUUUUACCUGCCCAAUGUAGUACUAUAUCAAUGGCCGCGGUACUUUGACCGUGCUAAGGUAGCGCAAUCAAUUGGCUUUUAAUUGUAGUCAGGUAUGAAUGGAGUCUACGGGGUUUAACUGUCUCCUAUUUAAUUUAUUGAAAUUACUAUUCAGGUGAAAAAGCCUGAGGGUUUAAAAAGGACGAGAAGACCCUUAGAGUUUAUCUUAUACCAAAAUAUUUUUUGGUUCAGUUUUGUUGGGGCAACAUAGGAUCAAUUUAACAUCCUAAAUUUUAUAAGCCGAUAAUUAUAAGUUUGGAAAAACUACCUUAGGGAUAACAGCAUAAUUUUAUUAAUAAGUUUGUGACCUCGAUGUUGGACUAGGAAACUAAAAGGCUAGCCGCCUUUUUGGUAAGCUCUGUUCGAGCUAUUAUUCCUACAUGAUCUGAGUUCAGACCGGCGUAAGCCAGGUCAGAUUCUAUCCUUUUAUUAUAAAAACUUAGUACGAAAGGACCAGUUUUUAAUAUAGUUUUAUAUAAUA